UGGAGCAGUAGAUAAAUUGUGAUUCUGUAACAUAACCAAAUUUUGCAUCUUGUUAUCUUUUAAGCACUUUUGAUACUUGAUAUUUCCUAUACGUCAUUAAUUUGUGUUAUUGUAUUUAUAAGUAUUCUGUUUUUUCUUGUUGAUGUUUUUUUUUGCUAAAUAUUUUUUUCUUGUUCAUGUUAGUAGAUAGCCAUAUUUUUAAUCUCUUAUGUAAAAUAGCCAGAGCAACUAUUUCUCAUAGGUAACAUUGUUCGUUUUAUUCAGUUCUCAACUCUUAAGUUGCUAUGUACAUCUACUAUAAUUACCUUUGUUACAAAACUCAUCUGAACCAUGUAAUGGGGAUAAUAUGUAGUUUAUACAACCUGUUCAACAAGAAAUUUUCAUAUAUGGUUGUUUCUUCCCCGCAAGAGGAGUCCACUCCAUAUUGAUGGUGUUGUCAAAUGACACACCACCCUCACAAUCAAAUGCAACUAAGAUCUCCUACCAUUCAAAACUGAAUCCAUAAAUGUACAGAAGACUCUGUUUUUAAGCAGAGCGAAUAAAAAUAUAGUACUUCACAUUUUAUCUCUGAUUUUAUCUUGUAUCUUUUGUGUUAUACUUCUGGUCAGGAAAUUAGCAGGACAAUUAGUCAGUCCUGACAGGCCGGGAGAUUUUAAUCAGGCUCUUUUGAAACUUGGUGCCACAGUAUGCAUUCUACAUAAUCCAAGCUGCUCCACAUGCCCGGUCUCAGGUCAAUGUCGUGCGCUGCCAGUAUCAAGACAUGAUAGAUCAAUAUCUGUCAAGGAUUAUCCACCAAAAGUUUUCAAGGCCAAUGGCAUGAAUUUUCUGCCGUCACUGUUGUGAAAAUAAUAGAAGAUGAAGCCCUGAUGGAUCAACCACAAUGUAAUAGUAUAUUCCUUCUUAUAAAGAGGCCAGAUAAAGGUUUACUUGGCCUUUGGUAGUUUCCAUCUGUUCCACUAAUUGGCAAGGCAGACUUGGUCACAAAGAAAGAUGCAAUCGACUAAUAUUUGAAGUCAUUUGAUCUCGAAUCUGGAAGUACAUGUGAAGUAAUUUUUAGAAAAGAUGUAGGAAAAUAUAUACAUGUGUUCAGUCACAUACGUCUCAAGAUGUAUAUAGAGUUGCUGGUUCUACAUCUAAAAAGGUUCUACCAAGAGGCAGGAAGUGUGUGAAUCUGGAAAAAGAGAACAUGGAAAAAAAGUAUGUUAAUAGCAAGGACGUCGCAAGCCUAGGACUAACAUCUGGAGUGAGGAAGGAUACACAAAUGGAGCUAAUGGAGAUAUUGCAUGUGAUGAGUAUCACAAACACAAGGAAGAUGUCCAUCUGAUUUCAGAGACAGGCCUAGGGGCAUAUAGGUUCUCUAUUUCAUGGUCAAGACUUUAUUCUGAGUAUAGAUCAGUAAAAAGUGCAUAUUACCGCGAAGCAGUGCGAGCAAUGGUAGUAUAUGACAUGACAAAGCGGCUUUCAUUUGAUCACAUACCUGGAUGGCUCGACGAACUAAGGGUGCAUGCUGACAAGAAUAUUGUAAUUAUGCUCAUUGGCAACAAAUCUGACGUGGGAAGUCUUGGAGCAAUACCAACUGAGGAUGAUCAGAAACUCACAGAGAAGGAAAAACUAUGCUCUAUGGAGACAUCAUCCCUGUGAGGCAACUAACGUCGAGACUGCCUUUCUGACAGUUUUAACAUAAAUAUACAAUAUCACAGGCAAAAAGACCCUCACUGCUAGUGAUGUGGAUUAUGCAAAGUCUUCAACUCUCAAGGGAACCAGUAUAGUCAUUCGUGGCCAGGAGCGGAAUACUAGUGCAAGUAGUGGUGGUUGUUGCGCAUAAAUCUUUAUCUUUUUCCUUUAAGGUCUUGUUUUUUACUUAGGAAUAUAAGUAUGUUAGGUUAGGAUAUUACUGUUCAAAUGGAAAUUUUAA